rnacentral:rRNA from 1 species
AGGGAAUCUUCCACAAUGGACACAAGUCUGAUGGAGCAACGCCGCGUGAGUGAAGAAGGCUUUCGGGUCGUAAAACUCUGUUAUUGAAGAAGAACGUGUGUGACAGUAACUGGUCAUGCAGUGACGGUAUUCAAUCAGAAAGUCACGGCUAACUACGUGCCAGCAGCCGCGGUAAUACGUAGGUGGCAAGCGUUGUCCGGAUUUAUUGGGCGUAAAGCGAGUGCAGGCGGUCUUUUAAGUCUGAUGUGAAAGCCUUCGGCUUAACCGAAGAAGGGCAUCGGAAACUGGGAGACUUGAGUGCAGAAGAGGAGAGUGGAACUCCAUGUGUAGCGGUGAAAUGCGUAGAUAUAUGGAAGAACACCAGUGGCGAAGGCGGCUCUCUGGUCUGUAACUGACGCUGAGGCUCGAAAGCGUGGGUAGCAAACAGGAUUAGAUACCCUGGUAGUCCAUGCCGUAAACGAUGAGUGCUAAGUGUUGGGAGGCUUCCGCCUCUCAGUGCUGCAGCUAACGCAUUAAGCACUCCGCCUGGGGGAGUACGACCGCAAGGUUGAA